rnacentral:misc_RNA from 1 species
GAUGAAGAACGUAGCGAAAUGCGAUAAGUAAUGUGAAUUGCAGAAUUCAGUGAAUCAUCGAAUCUUUGAACGCACAUUGCGCCCGCCAGUAUUCUGGCGGGCAUGCCUGUUCGAGCGUCAUUUCAACCCUCAAGCCCAGCUUGGUGUUGGGGAUCGGCACAGGCGCCCUCGGGCGCCCGCCGUCCCCUAAAUCUAGUGGCGGUCCCGCUGCAGCCUCCUCUGCGUAGUAGUUUUCUCCUCGCAAGGGCAGCUCGGUGGCGACCUCGCCGUAAAACCCCCCACUUCUGAAAGGUUGACCUCGAAUCAGGUAGGAAUACCCGCUGAACUUAAGCAUAUCAAUAAGCGGAGGA